AGUUGAGGUUUUGCUUUCUUCUUCAUUCACCUCUGUAAUCGGCGAUUUUUGAGUUCGUAAGAAGCAUAAAAUCGGCGAUUAAAUGCAUGAACAAUUAGGUUUUGUGAGAUAAAUCAAGCAAUUUGUAUCGAAAAACAAAGAUGUCUCCGAGGCCCAUUUCUGAAGAUCGAGGAGGAUCUUCACAACAUUUCAGGCACACCCCUUUGCAAGUAAUCCAUAUUGUCGGAAAUUUCUUGAGAAUAUGGUCAAUUUACUCCCUGUACCGCUACUUGUCUCAAACGGGGGCUUCGGUUGUACUAUUUCUCUUCACUUGCCUGAUACCAGCAUCCAUCCUAUUUCUAAUUUUGCAAAAGCCUUGGAAGGGCAGGCCGCUCUCAAAUACACAGAUGAUUCCUUCUAUUAUAAAUGGUGGCAUAACAGCUUUGUACUUUAUUUUGUGGGGAAAAGGCCUCAAAUCAUGUGGACCUCUUAGGGCAAUAUUGGCAGAGUAUUCUGGUGCCAUCCUUGGCGUACUCUCUGCAGUAUUGUAUGGGCGGAAGGCCCACGCUUGGAAGAAGAUAGGUGGGCUUAUUGCGAUGGUGGCAUCUUUCUACUUCUUAUCGCAAGGGUGGGCCACAGAAACAUACUCUCCAUUCUCUUUUAAAGAUAACGUUGAUGGUGAGGUUCAGCCAGAACCUGUGUUAGGCAUGAAAGAGAUGGCAAUUCCAAUCUUUGCAGGAAUCUUAUCGGCAUUGAGGAGGGUGAUUGCACGCCGUGUUUCAUUGAAGAAUCAACUUAAAAGGCGACUUCAUGCCCUAACUAUUGCCUCUGCAACAUGCUUCAUGUUUCCUAUUGCCAUGUGGGAUGUAAUCAUAGGAUCCCCUUCUAGUAGCAGUGACAAGAUGGCAUUUUCUACUUGGGCUUUUCUAAGCACCAUUUUUUUUGGAAUAAUCUUGAUAUUCUAUGUUGAUAGUCUCGCGGAGGAGAGAUUACACAUGGUUUUCUCCUCUCCAAAGCACUUAAUGGUAGCUGGAGGGUGCAUAAUUGUGAUGGAAAUGGUGUACAAAUUGGACUUUUCUCUUCCUGGAUUUCUAAUUUGCUGCAUAGUUUUGGGCUUCGGGAUAUAUGAAGCAACGUCUUUGGAACGUGGUAGAAAAGAUUCUUUCCAAAAGCAUGAUUCAUCAGAUGGCAUUUUGGGUGAUGAAAUGCAGAUGGCUGCUCUUCCAACUUGAAGCUAAUAUAGGUGUAUAACUGAUGAUAUAUAAGCUCCAACAAUGUGAGAAUUAGGAAGGAGGGAGGGAGGUCAGUACCAAGUCAAAUGGAUUGGAAUUUUUCUUAAACAACCCACUGAACUCAUUUCCCUUUCCUUCCAAAACACAACUCUAUCGCUCUCUUUCUCUCUCAUUGGUAAAGCUGUUGCAGGUUCAUGUUAAUGUACAUCAGUAGCAACUUGUUGGCAGUGUAUUGGUUGUAUAAACCAUAAGCAGCGGGAAGUGACAGUCUCAUCGAUUGUUGGACUGAUAGACAGGAAACUCCCAAGGAAAUUGCUGGUUCUCACUUCUUAAAUCUUGAUAUGGCACACCGGGAGAUCAAUCUGUUGGAUAUCCCAUGAUACUAAGACAUGUGGUCAUACAUUCUAACUGUACGUCUGUAGUUGUACCAACUAUUGGAUAGAGAGUAAAGAAUACUUGUACUUCAACUUCAGAGUGAUUUAAAUGAGAUGAUAUUCUUUCUCCCAUUGUUCUCAGUAUACUCGAGCCAAAUUGUUUAGUGUGCAUUACUAAUCCAUAACUUGUGUAACUUGACCAACUUUAAUGUUGUAUGGAGUUGAACCAAUAAAAGCUUCUUGGCUCGUCUUAUUGUCAUUUUCUUUGCUGUUAUCCACC